CUAAUGAUCUCUGCCUCCUCCUGCUUUCUUUUCUUUUGAUGGAUCAUAAUAAAUAUAAUAUCCGAACGCAGUUUUAGAGCUGCGCCCGCUAUAAAUUCCGACCUGCUGUAAAAAACUUGCUCGUCGCGGCGCACUCUUUGGGGGGAGCGUUUUCACUUUUAAUUGGAUUUUUACAAUUGCUGCUCGGCGCGCUCCUCGCUCGCAAAGUGCAGUAGCAGCAGCUCGGCGACCGGCUGCUGAUGAUGGAGGAAACGAGUCGAGCGGGGAGAAGAAUUAUCGAUCCUUAAUUGCGGAUUGCUGCCGCGCUGAUUGAGUGUUUCUCUUCAUUGGAUUGAAAGACGCCCGCCGCCGCCACCGCCGCCUCCGCUCUCGGCUCGCCAAGUCAGAGGGGAAAUCCGGGAAACAGUUUGCUUUCUGAUCACAUUUUUCAGCCGUUCAAAUGGUAUAUUACGUGGAAAAGAGGCUGAAUUGCAAAAAUGUUAAAUCGCGUUUCACGCACGAAGGCGAGCAAGCGCGUGCUUUGAGCUCGGCGCAGAUGUGUGUUUGCGGCCAAUUUCGGCAGCGCGGCUGACUUCCCACUCGAGCUCAUGCGCCGGCAAAAGUGGAUUUGCGAAUAACGAACAAUUUGGAGAGACCUCUCCGUUUGUCUCCGUGCCGCAACACCGCAAUUCCGUAUUUGGUGGCCUCUUUAUUACCGCCAAAUAUUUGGCAUAUAUGUCUUAAUCAAAGCACACACAAAUUAUUGCGGAUUGUAAUCACGUACGUCAAGAGUUUCCUCAUUCCUGCGACCGUUUAUCUCGAGUGCCUCCGCUUGUUUUUUUUAUAAUGCAGCAAUCGCAAUUUGCCAUAUCUGUGGUCUUUACGAGCUGCCUGCUUUUCUACUUAUUUACCAGCGGUGCUCGUUUGGAAACAAGCGUCUGCUCCCCACCACACACAUACACAAUCCUGCUCUCCGAGGAAGGAAAAACUAUUUUUAAAGCCCCCCAUAGAGUUUGCGGUAGGUAAAGAGUUUAGUAAUUUGUGUCUGCCUGCGCAUUAUUCGUCGUCUCUCUUGCCUUUCUCCGCGCUGGCUGCCGGCGGCGCAAAGCACACUCGUCGCGUCGUUUCGUUUGUGCUCUGUGAUGAUGAUAUUAAAGCGACUGACUGAGUGCGAGAAAGAGCCAGGGAACGGCUUGUUAUUAUUGCCAGUGUUAAAAGCCCCAUGACUCGGAUCACAUGUGUGAUGGGUGCGCAAAUGCAGGCUAAAUGAAACACGGCCGCGAUGAUACCUACCGAGCCAGUGAGUCACGCGAGCCGCUUGCUUUUUCGUGUUAUUUAUUCUGCGCUCGCACAUAGAGCGAGAGAGGCAGGUAGGCGGUUUGAUUUAUUAUGCUGGCUGCUUAAUAGCGAAUUUUGUAUUUUACGGCAGCCUAAUAAAAUGAGCGACGAUAAUCGGCCUGUUUAUUCCUGCUGGCUCACGGCAUUUAUUUAUUGUUUGAUCAGCAUUUUUAAUUUAUGUCCAGCUCGGCCUAGAUCUAUCAGAGGCUGAAAGCUCUUGAAAUUGAUCUUUUAGCGGGGUCGUCCUCCCUUCAAUUUAUUUGACAGCGUU